rnacentral:rRNA from 1 species
ACAGCAGUCGCCACGGUAAUACGUAGGUGGCAAGCGUUGUCCGGAAUUAUUGGGCGUAAAGGGCUCGCAGGCGGUUUCUUAAGUCUGAUGUGAAAGCCCCCGGCUCAACCGGGGAGGGUCAUUGGAAACUGGGAAACUUGAGUGCAGAAGAGGAGAGUGGAAUUCCACGUGUAGCGGUGAAAUGCGUAGAGAUGUGGAGGAACACCAGUGGCGAAGGCGACUCUCUGGUCUGUAACUGACGCUGAGGAGCGAAAGCGUGGGGAGCGAACAGGAUUAGAUACCCGUGUAGUCCCUGUCUCUUAUAC